GAUGAACGCUGGCGGCGUGCUUAACACAUGCAAGUCGAACGAUGAAGCCCAGCCUGCUGGGUGGAUUAGUGGCGAACGGGUGAGUAACACGUGAGUAACCUGCCCUUAACUCUGGGAUAAGCCUGGGAAACUGGGUCUAAUACCGGAUAGGAGCGCCUACCGCAUGGUGGGUGUUGGAAAGAUUUAUCGGUUUUGGAUGGACUCGCGGCCUAUCAGCUUGUUGGUGAGGUAAUGGCUCACCAAGGCGACGACGGGUAGCCGGCCUGAGAGGGUGACCAGCCACACUGGGACUGAGACACGGCCCAGACUCCUACGGGAGGCAGCAGUGGGGAAUAUUGCACAAUGGGCGAAAGCCUGAUGCAGCGACGCCGCGUGAGGGAUGACGGCCUUCGGGUUGUAAACCUCUUUCAGUAGGGAAGAAGCGAAAGUGACGGUACCUGCAGAAGAAGCACCGGCUAACUACGUG
rnacentral:rRNA from 1 species